ensembl:lncRNA
CUUGACUGUAUGAAGUGCAAACUGUGAGUACUGAGCACAGCUCUCCCUGCUGUCCUGACUUCCCCGCUAUGGAAUUGCACUUGCCUUCUCUAGAGCUCUCCUUUCGCUUCAGUUAAAUGGAACCCAGAGGAGGGGAACUGAACUACCCUGGUAAAGCACACCCCUGUCCCAGAGCAGGGGCUCACAGCCUGUUAAUUUUCAUAUGCCAACGCUCAGCCUUUUGAACGACAGCCCCGCAGACUGCCAUCUCCCUGCAACCCACAUGGCGCUGGAGGUGCUUCAGAGACAUAUGGGGAGUGAGAGCCCAUCACAAGGAGAGGACGGCAGCGCUUCAGAAGGCAGGAAACCAGCCAAAGGAUGGCAAACUCUGAUCUUUGGAAGAAUGAAAGCACUGCUCAGAACAUCCUUAGCACAUGGGGUACCUCACUACUUAACUGCAGCUAUUGCUCUUUGAAAGCUAAUGGACAAGGAGGCUAUUUUCUGUUUUUCAAGGCAAUCAGAGCCAGGAAAUGAACUGAUAUUUAGGUUGCUUCUGAAGACACUUCCUCUUCUCCCAUUUAACCACCCGACUGCAGCUGUGAAUUCCAGCACCUGCAUUGUGUUCCAGAAGGAGACUGGAUCCUGGUUUGGGGCAAAACCUGCCAGCUGCUAUCAAUUUCAGGUGAAGCUGAGCAUGUGCAGAAGAGUGGUUUCUGUAGCUUUGUGCCACGAGCCUGCAGACAUGCCCUGCGAAGCACGGCUCUUGGGACUGCUCUCACGCAGGGCAGUGAUAGGGUGAAGCCUUAAAACGUAUUGGUUGUACAACACAGUGUUGUUAACUCCGAGCAUAAACAGUUACAGGAAUUUGCCAGAGCCUUUGUAAACUCGUGAGAACUUCAGGUAUUUGAAAGCUCCAGACUCUGACUGUUCUCUUCUGCAGGAAGGAAGAAUACCCUCUUUUAAAUGAUGCCUAGGGGAAAAGUUUGGUUUUCUUACUAAGCUCACUGGCCAGCGAACCCAGAGCUCAAGAAAGCUCCUCAUCCCAGUAGGUGGAGACACUGUAAGUCCAGGCUGAACUACAGAUGAGCACAAGAGAAGCUCCUGGUCCGGCCUUCAGCUAACUAGCAGUGUGGACUGGCCAGUAGAUAGUUAAUGCAGUAGUAGUUACAUUACAAGUAAUUAAAAAUUCCUUGUAAAUGAAAUUGAGGUAGGAAAAAAGAAAGCUGGGAUAUCCCAAAUAAUUUUUAACUCCAGCAUUUACCGUCCUCUUCUGCAGUUUUGAAACCAGCACAAUUUCCACAUCUCAUCUUGUCAUUCUCCAUGCACCAAAUACUUGACUAGGAAGGUGAUAACAGGUGAUUGAUAAAAAAAUCCCACUUUGCCUGCCUGACCUCCUGAAGGUCUUGGAAAAGAGUGGGUGGCUUCUUGAGCAGUUAUGCCAAAGGACCUUACUGUGCUCUAGAGCACUUUCUUCUCUGCCAUGGCAGCAAAGAGACUGGAGGAGACCAGCUGGCCUGGCUAGGCAGGACAGUGCCUUACAGCCACAGGAAAAUCUGGAUCAGGGAGGACCUCUGGAGGUGAUCCUGCUCAGCCUUCCCCUGUGAAGGUCACCCACAGCAAGUUGCUCACUGACUCCAUGAGUUGGAUUUUGAACAUCUGCCAGGAUGGAGAUUCAGCAACCUCCUUAGGGAACCAGCUGCAGUGUCAGGACCUCCACCUUCACACCCCAGUGAAAAAUGUUUUCCCACUGUCUGGUUGGAAUUUCCCAUGUUCCACCUCAUGCUUUUAGACCUUUGCCCUGUUGCUGUGCACCACUGAUAAGUCUUUCUCACUGCCUGCCUUGUUUUAGAUAGCCAGAAGUAUAGGACUGCUGCGACCGAAUGUCUAGGGUAUGCUCUGCUCUACCCAGAGAAUUUACUGUAGCAAUGAUGCCAAUAGCAGGACAGUAAGCAGGAGACAGAAAGUCAUUGUGUUUGUUAUCAGUCCUUUUGCCAUCAGCGUGCACUGACAUAUUUUUACCAACCAAAUGUGUGAGUGUAGCUGAGACUCUAACUGAGCUGGUCGUACCUCCUGAGUUUGGCAUUUCUCUAUCUUAUAUUUAAAACUGAUGUUAAACAUCUUUUGCAAGACCAGCCUUGCUCUGACAAGAUCUGUCUGAGUGAGUGCAAAUCCCCAGGCUCAGUCUGACAGUGACUGCUCAGGUAUCUUGACCAGAGCCAUGUCUCUCAUCUGAAUUUGAUCUAAUAAGCGUCUCUGCGUCUAGACAGGGAAGCCAAUGACACAGGGAAGCCUACAGAGCAUGUUGUGGAUCAUGCCACGUCCUCCUGCAUGGGCAAUGGGAAGGGCUCUUUGUGUUGUGAGGAAGGCACCAGAGCCUCCUCUGCAUGAGGGGGAACCACUGAGCAAGAGCAAACCACUGCUCCUUACUCAUGCAUCAUGAAAGGUUACGACAUUUCCCAGGGAUGUGAUUACAGAGCCAAGCAGACACACUCUCACUGCCUGUUAAUAAACGUUCUGUUAGUUAGACAAUGUAAACCUCCUCUUUGCACACUGGUUUCUGGCAGUGCUGGCCACGCAGGGCUCCAAGCUUCACCCUGCAGCCUUCCGCCUGCUGCUGGACCCUGGCAAUAGUCGGUGUUGCUGAAUUCUAACGAGCAUGCACUUCAUCCAAGUGCUAAAUUCAAUUAGAUUUAGAACAUUCACAGGCCUACACCUGGCUCCCUGCUAGUGGCAGCUAGCAGCGACGUCAGGGAACGACAGCAAAGCCGGGUCCUGCUGGGUGCCUGGCAGGGAAGCAGUCCGGCUGUGGGCAGGGAUGCACUCUGUGCCUGCCCAUCAUGGGCACAAGGUCUGCCAUCCGAGUGUCAUCCCUCUACUCUGAGCCUGUCCUGGUCCUGUCCUGAGCUUGUCCUGGGCCAGCUCUGUACAGCCCAGCCCCACAGUGCUGGGGUCCAGAAACGUGUGGGGCAAUCAGAUCCGUGAGCAGCCUGGGCCAAAGCCAGGCCAAACCAUCUCUCCUGAGCAGGAAGAAAGCCUUGAAACUUCUGGAUAAUUCAUUUCUAUACUUGGGGAAAAACAAAACAAAACAAAACAAAACCAAAACAACAAAAAAGAACUUUUCAUUUUUAUUUGAAUGUUCUCUUAUUGGAACAGGAAGAGCAGAUGAUUCAGAAAACAACCCAACUUUAACACUCAUCUGUGGAAAUUAUUUGAGGGUUUACACUUUUGCAACAGUUUUGGCUGCCAGACUAAAAAAAAUCCAUAAUUCAUACAACUCUAUUCAGGGUCUACCAGCAUACACGUCCUGUAUGGCAGAGUUUAGGCUUGGAGGAGUAACAGAGAUCAAAUAUUUGAUAAAACUUCAGGAUAGGAGGAGGAGAGAAAGACCUUGAAAAUAUUUCUCAUUCAGAUGCUGGUGUAAACUAUGGGGAAAAAAAGUCUUUGAAAGGCACUGUGGAGGCAGCGUUUAAUGUGUUUAACUGGGACUGUAUCUUCUGGCAAACCGAAGAGGGGUGAGAGGCAUUAACAACAGCCUUCCCAAGCUCUGCGAAGCCCUCUGUGAGGUUCCUUUCUGCUGCUGGUUAUGAGCCUGGUUGCUAACAGUGCGGAAGCUGUGCCAAAAGCUGUAUCCCUGUAAAUAGGACUUCAGAUUUGAUCACUUCGGGAAUGAAAAAAUAGCAAUAACACUUAGGGCACCCAAGUAAGUGACAAGCAGAGUUAUGGAUAAUGGGUUUAAAACAUUAAUGAGUUGCAAGUUGUCUAUUAUUCGCUGAACACUGUAUAAAAACACAGACGCUGCCAGUUCCGACAACCUUUUGGCCCUUGUUUUUCAACCGGGAGCGUGCAGCCAGAUGGCUGUGGCUGCAGAACCAGCCAUGCACUUGUCUCUCAUGCACUUGUCACCAGCAGACCUACAUGUUACAGAGCUGCUGCCGAACAGCAGAGCCAUCCAGCAGGAAGAGCAAAAGGGAAGCUUGGAUUCUGAAGAUGGCCUUUCUAAUCCCUGCUUUACUUCAGAGACUUUGAGCAAGCCAAAAUCUCAUGAUCCCCAUCUUUAAAGACCAGUGACAGCACUCUGCUACCCUGCAAGGUUAGUGAAGAUACAUACAGUAAGGACUGUGAGACUAUCUGGCACUAAAAAGAGAGAGGCAUCCUAAACAGAUACCAAGGAGACAGGCUGCCCCAGAAAGCCCUGAGUGAGGAACACUGCUCAGUGCUUGCAAAUAACAGUUGACACUUAUAUUUGGAGUUAAUAUUUUCUAGCAAUUAUACUGCUCUCAAAGGAUCAGAGCACAGUCUCUUUCAUGCUCUGGAGCAGAUGUCAUAUCUCUGAUGCUUUGGUCCAUUACAUAUAUUUUUGGAGUUCUUUAAACUCUCAAAUCCUCCAAAUCUAGAUUGAACACCUUAUCCGUGUUGCAACAUAAAUACACAUUGCUGAAAACCUGGUUAUGACUGUCAGUACUAAUUAGGGAACCUUAAUGUGCUUAAGUUUAAGCCCACUUAAUUUAUAGAGAACUAUUCAGAUGCUGUCACUCAGGCUGGGAAUUUGAAGAAUAUUUAAAUUGUUGAUUAAGUGCUUAACAUUACAGAUUAAUGCAAAAACGUCUGUCCUACAUUUCCUGCAAUUAUAUGGUGACCUGUAUAAACGUUUGAGCUCUGCCCCAUUCCAUUCACGGCAGUCACAUUCACAACCCCCCAAGUCAGCUGGGAACUGGAGGAGGUGUAAAUGUUCAUCCCCGCGUGGCGUUGCCCACUAGCAGCUCACUUGUGCCGCUCACUUGCCCUUGCUGAUGGGAUGCAGGUGCUCACCAGUCAUGCACACUGGAUCCAAAUGAGGUGGAGGAAGAAGCAGGAACCCCACAGAGCUGUUCCUCUUUGCUGCCCUGUGGUGAAGCCUCUGCAUGAGGAGGGCAGCACCAGUGAGGGCAUGGAUAGCUAGAGGCACGCUCAUCUGAGAGCCUGGCUACUGUUAAAGUUCCAGAGCUGUAUUUAAGGCAAAGUGAAACUGGCAACUCUAGAUUCCUGCCCAAUUCCCUGCCUGCCCAAAACUGCAGUCAGCCGAGAAAGUCCUGACCCUGUCAUCAUUUUGCACUUGGAAGUGGAAGGUGAAGCUCUCUCCCCUCUAGAGGCUUUGGGUUUGCAUGCAGGACAGCAAGUCAGCAUCACAGGGUCGAACAGAGCAUUUGCAUUGCCAGCACCUGAGCUUUCACUGUGUGUCUUUGAUUUCUUUUUUCCCCCCGAGUCAUAGACUUUGGAAUUAAGGGUUUAUAGGAUGUUUUCAGACAAAAAUACACACAAAAUCUCCCUAUCAAAUCUUUAACUGUUCUUCUUAAAGGAAAAUGUCAGGAAAGACAAUGAAAUACAACGUAAAAGCCUUAUAACUGAGAUCUCACAUUGUUGUCGUGUGCCAUUGUAAAAUCCUGUGAUUUUUAGGCAAAUAGGCCUUUGAAUGUUGUGGCUGCCAGUCUCGCCUUGUUGAGCACUGUGUAGGCCAGAGCAGUUCUGUACUUCUGGCUGUACAGUUGGAACUGACCCAGCCUGCAAAGCAGAACAACUCCUUACUGUGAAUAACUCAAGGCCUCUGCUGCUCCACGAGGCUGAGUCUGUCCCAUCCACCGCUGCAUUAACAGUGCUGUGCUGCAAAGCUCCUCUCCAGGUGUGCUUCUUUCUCAUAGACCUCAUUUAAAGAAGAGGAAGCUGAGGACCUUGCAUGCUCUCUGUCCUCAGAGGUCUCGCUCGAUGUGUUUGAGGCCAGGAACAGCUCCUGUUUAUCUCCUCCUGCCGCUGUUUCAAAAGCUGAAACAGCCCAGUGUGGGGGCUGAGACUCAUUAACGGGUCAGAGCAGAGAUCACCCAGUGGCCAUGUCCUCCACCUCCAAACACAGUCGCGGAACCCGUCUCCUCUCCUUCAGCUACUGGCAUGCCAUCCCCAUAGCUGCUGCAAUUACUUACUCAUCUGUGUGACACCUGGGAAGAGGAUCAUCGAUUCCUUGCUUGUUUUAGUGAGUUUAGCAGCUAGGAAGGAGGGAGGACAAGCGCUGCGUUGUCAGCCAGUUCCCACAGGCCAUCCCGUUGCUCCUCCCUUCCUCCUUCUGCAGGUCCCUUCCCCGGUGACAUCUGUUCCCAGGAAUGAUGAGACAAGAUUUGGAGCAAUUACUAUAGUUUGUGUUUCCUGACCCAGCUUGCUGUGUGCGUGUUAAGAGCACGAGCGCUGAAAAUCAACAGGGUGUAGAAGGCCUUAUACUUCACCCCAAACACCUGUGGCACCUAUGCAAGAAGAAAAGCUCUGAUGUGCCAACUGGACUCUGAUUUUGUGGCAGGACAAGCCAGGCCUUGAAAACACUCCUCUGCCUUCCACAGGGCCAAGCACAGCAGGGAGCUCGGGGCGCCUGGCUCCUGAGGUGGAGGAAGGCAGGCUCUGUGCUGCAGGAUGGAUGUCACAGCGAGAGGGAGAGCCGAGUUAUUUCCGCAAUCCCUUCACAUAAUGGAUGGGGAUGUCAAGAUGCCGCCAUCUGAAGUAUGAGCACCUUGGAACCAAACAAAAAAUGACUGGCGGUGUCAGCUUUCAGGAAUGUAUGAGCAGAGGUGGUGGGGAGCUGCACAUGCGGCACAGGCUUUCUCCAGCAUCUUCCUUUCAGCACAAGGGAUGACCUUGGCCCCUCUCCUCUUCCUCCACAGACUGUCACGCACAGAUCUCCUGGUCUGAACCCUGUGCAUGCUCGCUGCAACGUGAGCAGCUCUCAGCAGGCGGUGCCUCAGGCAGGAGGCCAGCUCAGGGCGGAGUUGUGGCUCCAAUGUGCGGAUCUGCCAGAGGGCUUUGAACAGAUCUGAGCAUCUGCAAAUCCUGCCUGGCUUCUGAUCCCUCUCUUUGCUGUCAAUUGCUCGUGUGGGAUGUGAUAUACAGAUCCACUGGGCAGCAUCCCCUGUACAAACCCAAGUGAAGGCUGAAGCAGGGCUUAGUGCUAAGCACAGAAUGGCUGCAGUCACACCUCAAAGUCUCCUGGCCAGAGGACAAAGCACUGACCGCAUCAUCACCACCACCUCCAUCAUUUUGAGUAACUCUGACGGUGAGCUCUGAGUACACUGAAGAGCUGUCUGCUCUCCAUCCAUCACAGUCCUUCUCUCUCAAAGUGGGGACUCAGGUGCAAAAAGCCUCAUUGCUCACAUCUUGGUCUUGGAUGGCCAGAAAGCCUCACCACCAAGGCUGUAGUGGUGCUAUAUGGCAUUAGUAGGAAAUUGCAACUCACAUUUUCCCUAAAAAAGCUACUGACCGCAGUGAGUCAAGGUGCUGGAGAGCACUGCUCUCCGUUUGGAACAUUUCCAGUCUGGUCUCUAUCAGAGCUUUGACCCACAGAAGGCCACGUGAAGCAGAACGGGAGUUUUUCCGAGUUCCUGUAUUUGGUGCCUUGGGCUCCAUGGUGAGCAAUGGCUUGGAAAUAGUAUUACAUCAGAAGAGCUGUGACAAGAAUUACCUGCCUCUGAAUAGACAUUCCUCAAAUGCUGCCCAAGGGUUUUUUUUCCGUAGAGACCCCUCAAAGCCUGGACACUGCUCCUCCCUGUCCCAGCCGAGCCACGAGAUUACUGCUCAUUAAAUCUUCCAUGCAAAAUGAGUAUUGGAUCCUUGGAUCAGUCCCCACCCAUGGCCUGUCAGGAUACUUCAGGGGCUGGAGAGUAGUUCUGAUCUGCAGCCCCAUGUCACCAACAAUCCCAUAAUGUAAUGGAAGUUCAUUUCUAGGGGAGCAGAGCUGCUCUGGCAUUCAGAUCAGAAUCUGAUUAGAAUUCAGUUUAGUCUACCAAGGUAAUAACGAGGUCUAGGAUCACAAUCUGCUGGAAUAACUUAGUAAGCCAUGUGAGGUCACUAUUGCUUCUUGAAAAUAUGGCUUAAACAUAAUUUACCUGGCAGUAACUUGACCUGGAAGAGAGAGGUUUAUCUUCUUGGCAUGCUGUAUCUGGGUAGCUUGACAACCUCUACAUAAAUCUGAGACCUUUCAUUCUACAGCUGGCUGUUAUUACUUAUAAUCUCUAAAUGCAAAAAGUAUUCCUCCCAGAGACCCCUCUCUUUUCCUUUCUUUCCUC